rnacentral:rRNA from 1 species
CUACGGGGCGCUGCAGUGAGGAAUAUUGCACAAUGGGGGGAACCCUGAUGUAGCAACGCCGCGUGGAGGAUGACGCAUUUCGGUGUGUAAACUCCUUUUAUAUGUCAAGAAAAUGACGGUAGCAUAUGAAUAAGCACCGGCUAACUCCGUGCCAGCAGCCGCGGUAAUACGGAGGGUGCAAGCGUUACUCGGAAUCACUGGGCGUAAAGGGCGCGUAGGCGGGUUGGAAAGUCAGGUGUGAAAUCCUACAGCUUAACUGUAGAACUGCACUUGAAACUUCUAAUCUAGAGUAUGGGAGGGGGAGAUGGAAUUAGUGGUGUAGGGGUAAAAUCCGUAGAUAUCACUAGGAAUACCUAAAGCGAAGGCGAUCUCCUGGAACAUUACUGACGCUAAGGCGUGAAAGCGUGGGGAGCAAACAGGAUUAGAUACCCCUGUAGUC